GGACCUGAUAUCAGGCAAGAUUACCCGCUGAACUUAAGCAUAUUAAUAAGCGGAGGAAAAGAAACUAACAAGGAUUCCCCUAGUAACGGCGAGUGAAGCGGGAAGAGCUCAAGCUUAAAAUCUCCGUGCAAGUUUUGCGCGGCGAAUUGUAGUCUAUAGAGGCGUGAUCAGUGUGGGCGCUUGGGGCAAGUUCCUUGGAAGAGGACAGCAUGGAGGGUGAUACUCCCGUUCAUCCCUGAGUUGCUCGUGCGUACGAUCCGUUUUCUUUGAGUCGCGUUGUUUGGGAAUGCAGCGCAAAGUAGGUGGUAAAUUCCAUCUAAAGCUAAAUAUUGGUGCGAGACCGAUAGCGAACAAGUACCGUGAGGGAAAGAUGAAAAGAACUUUGAAAAGAGAGUUAAAGAGUACCUGAAACUGCUGAAAGGGAACCGAAUCGUUUCCAGUGUCUAUAAUCCGUGGUAUAUUUCAUUGGCGAGUGUGUGCGUGCGUGUGCUGUGGCAGCGGCUUUUUUGGCUGCGCUCGGCGUGUGUGCUGUGUGUGCUUGCUGGUGCCCUGUGCUGCGGUGGGACGUCAAGGUCAGUUCGUAUGCUGCGGGAAAUGGCCGCCGAGGAGGUAGGGCUUACGCUUGCGUUUGUCUGUUAUAUCUUGGUGGACGAGUAGUCGCGGUUGGGACUGAGGUGCCUACAACGUGUUUUUGAGUGGGCCUGUGUCUCUGUGUGCGCCGUGUGCGGAUAGCUUGCUAUGCGUGUAGUGGUUGUGUGUGGAUUGAUGUGGGUUUUAACUUGUUNNNNNNNNNNNNNNNNNNNNNNNNNNNNNNNNNNNNNNNNNNNNNNNNNNNNNNNNNNNNNNNNNNNNNNNNNNNNNNNNNNNNNNNNNNNNNNNNNNNNUUUGAUUCUUCGAUGUCGGCUCUUCCUAUCAUUGCGAAGUAGAACUCGCCAAUUGUUGGAUUGUUCACCCACUAAUAGGGAACGUGAGCUGGGUUUAGACCGUCGUGAGACAGGUUAGUUUUACCCUACUGAUGAGUUCGUUGUCUAAACAGUAAUCCAACCCAGUACGAGAGGAACCGUUGGUUCAGAUAAUUGGUAACUGCGGUUAGCUGAAAAGCUAGUGCCGCCAAGCUACCAUCUGUAGGAUUAUGGCUGAACGCCUCUAAGUCAGAAUCCAUGCUGGAAUAGACGAUAAUCACCUUUCCCGAUGUGCCGCGAAUAGCGAUAGGUGUCUUCUGGACACCCAACAUCAUACAAUUGCAACGCACUCCGCUGCCUGUCAAGUACUGGCGGUGGAGAGUAGGCUGAUUUGUAAUUUCAAAUAUUGGGAAAGAUAAAUCCUUUGUAGACGACUUAACUACAGAACGGGGUGUUGUAAGCAUGAGAGUAGUCUUGUACUACGAUCUGCUGAGAUUUAGCCCUUGUUCUAUUGAUUUGUUCAGAAAUGAACAUUUCUCCCCCCAAUUGCGAACGCGCAAUGUUAAAACUAUAAAGUUAAGCAGUCGAAAUAAGGCUGCGUUAAAGUGAUUUACUUUCGCUAUGGGGCGGCGAAAGUAACCGGUCAAAGUGCUGGUAGAGAGUUAAUACUGUUAAGCUUAAGAUCGUCAAAGUCUUUGUUUUGGCUUAGUGAGGUUUGUUCGCAAAAAUCGCUAAGUGCCGCUGCUAUUGUUUUCCGAGCCAAAUUCGGCGACCUUAGUAUCGGGUUUAUAACAGGCAGAAAGCGAGAAACACUUUGCGUGAAAAUCGCUAAGUGCCAGCGCUAAUGAUUUCUGAGCCAAAAUCGUGAGAUUUUAGUAUGGGGGUUUAACAGGGCAAGCUAGACGGCAGGGCGUAAAAUUAGACUUGGUUUAAGUAUGUUAAAAGAGAGCGAAUAGCGUGAAUUAGACUUGGUUUAACUAUGUUAAAGAGAGCGAAUAGCGUGAAUUAGACUUGGUUUAACUAUGUUAAAGAGAGCGGAAUAGCAUGAAUUAGACUUGGUUUAACUAUGUUAAAGAGAGCGGAAUAGCAUAAAAUAGACUUGGUUUAACUAUGUUAAAGAGAGCGAAAUAGCGUAAAUUAGACUUGGUUUAACUAUGUUAAAGAGAGCGGAAUAGCAUGAAAUAGACUUGGUUUAAGUAUGUUAAAAGAGAGCGAAAUAGCGUGAAUUAGACUUGGUUUAAGUAUGUUAAAGAGAGCGGAAUAGCAUGAAAUAGACUUGGUUUAACUAUGUUAAAAGAUAGCGAAAUAGCGUGAAUUAGACUUGGUUUAAGUAUGUUAAAGAGAGCGGAAUAGCAUGAAAUAGACUUGGUUUAACUAUGUUAAAAGAGAGCGAAAUAGCAUGAAAUAGACUUGGUUUAAGUAUGUUAAAAGAGAGCGAAAUAGCGUGAAUUAGACUUGGUUUAAGUAUGUUAAAGAGAGCAGAAUAGCGCGAAUUAGACUUGGUUUAAGUAUGUUAGAGAGAGCAGAGUAGCGUGAAUUAGACUUGGUUUAAGUAUGUUAAAGAGAGCAGAAUAGCGCGAAUUAGACUUGGUUUAAGUAUGUUAGAGAGAGCAGAGUAGCGUGAAUUAGACUUAGUUUAAGUAUGUUAAAGAGAGCGGAAUAGCGUGAAUUAGACUAGGAUAAAGUAUGCAAAAUGAAGCUGAGGACUUUGUGAAAAAAUGCGAAGUUGUUUGCUGUUCUAAUUGUAUGGGUUUGGAGAUGUUUUUGGCUUGGAUUAAUAACAGGCAGGAAGCGCGAGGAAACGCAGCGAAUAUGGACGCGUACGCGGAAGGUGACGGCGGAGGAAGCGCGGAUAUGGAGGUGAAAAUGGUGAAAGGUGAUGGCGCGAGGAAGGUGACGGCGCAUGGGUGUGAAUAUGGAGGUGAUGAAAGGUGACGGGAGGAAACGCAUGAUGUAUAUGACAAGUUGGUGUCGUACUUAAGCGGAGCGCGCGCUGUGCAUGUAUGAAGGUGUCGAAGGUGUUCAUAUUGCCUAAGACGCGUACGUGCACAUGUCAUGUCGCAUAGGAAGCGUAGGUAUGGUUGUGCAAGUCGUAAAUGGCCACUUUGGUGGUUUAACAUUGUUUCCAGGCCGCGUAUGCGCAAAUAUGGGGUGCGGCGGCUAUCUGCACUGCUGUGUAUGAAGGUGUCGGUCUGUGUGGGGUUCCUAUCGGAGAGAAUACGUAUGCUGCGUUGUAGGAGUGAGCUGCUGGCCACACGUUUGUAUUGGAGUGCGCCACACCACCCCCCUUUUUGUUUUGUUACUAUAUAAAGUGUAGCCAUCCACCCAGCCAAUUCUGAGGGCCAGAAGGGGUAUUGGGGGCCAUCGUGUGCAGUCUAUGGCCACGUAUGUGGACAUGUGAGUGUGUAAAUGUGUUGUACCAAUGUAUACGAGUGAUAAACACUAAUAGGUGUGUCGGUCAAAGUCAAAUGUAGACGGCCAUCUUAGGCUGAAAGCACCAUAUCCCGUCUGCUCUGUGAAGUUAAGCAGCCUCAAGCUCGGGUAGUACUCGGGUGGGUGACCACCGGGGAAGUCCGGGUGCUGUCUACUUUUUAGCCCGUUUUGAGCUGUUUACCGACUUUGCGUGUGUUUGCAAACGCAAGAUAUGAUGUCUGGCAUGUGCCCACACGACAUCUUGGUUUUAGUAUGCCUGGCGAGCCACUACACACGAGAUCUUGUUUUUUGUAUGGUGUUCUUUAAUUUGAUUAUUAUGAAGAUGAAAGAGAACCGUUAGAACGGGUAUGAAGGGUGUUCUAGGGGUGCUUUUCGGUGCUCUUUCACGUGGACAUAUCGCAGCAUGCGACAUGUCAGCGGAACACUGUCUAAAUUAAUAAAUACUGUUUUGGGCCGAUUUCUAAAAGCGUCUAUAAAAGGGCAUAAGUGCAAUGACUCGUCUUUGUAACCCUGCGGCCUAGGCGUAGUUUUUCACGGGGAAUCCGAAUAUCAAAGGUAGAUUUAUGUACAACAUGUACUUUUUUUGCAACAUGUACUUUUUAUCUACGGGACAUAGACAUAUGUAAAAACACACGGCGGAGCCGUUCCCGCAAUCAGAAUUUGUCUAACUCUUCUAGAUCAAAAGUUAUUCAGCGAAAUGUGAGACUUUGUUUGGCAUGCUCUUUUUUUAGGUGGUUUUUUCCGGUUUUAUGUGCCGCCCGGCAGAUCUGGCCUGCAGACUUUAGCAGAAAACUUGGCGCAUGUGUUCGCACGACCGCUCCCAAAGUUUUACAAGCAUAUCUCCAGUAGUUGCUUCGCAAUGAUUUUUUUAGUGACGCCAAAAAACGCCAUUUUCGCGGAAAAUGGACACCUUGGACGGCCAAAAUCACCACUUUUGGCCAUGUUUGGCCCUGCACAUCCAGGAAGCAAAUGAGACUGCUCCGUAUAAAAACUGCCCUAGGGGUGCUUUUAUGCGCGCAUUCCCGUGGUCAAGUCAGAUUUUGGCUAAAUUCAAAUGCCUUGUCUAUAAACACUUUUUUCGACCUAAAUUUUCACCUGUUUUGUCCCGAAAUGAUAGCACCCAUUCUUUAUUUGCCUAUAUAUCGCGAAGGAGGCAACUUUUUUCCUGUUAAGUAUAGAUAAAAAAUUUAAUUCGGCGUUUUAGCGCACGAGGAACAAAAGUCUCCAUACAAGCUACCCUCGGUUUCUAAUGACUUUUUGAGUUAGGGAAGCGUGGAUCUUCUUUUUUUCUUGUUUCCAGGACUUCACAUGAACUUCCAACUCAACUCGAAUUGUCAUCCCGGGCCCACCACGCAUCGAAACGACACUUUUCUCGGAACUGGCGAAUAAAAAAUAGGUCACCAGAUGCGCAAGAGUCUGGGAUGACAGAAUAUCAAAACAAUAACAGAAUCGUUAGUACUUUUUUUGUCACCAGCGCCCUUUUUCUGUUUUCGCGUACAUAAUCGAGCAUAACUUUAUCAAUUUAUACCAUAUCGACCGAUAUCGAUUGUCACGAUAGUGUACUUUUUUUAGGCGCACAUGAUGGUAAAAAGAACGGCCACCUAUUCCCAGCCGUUCUUAAGUUAUGCUCUUUUAAAGAUUUUACUUUAGAGAUGACACACCCUCUCAUUUCACUCCAUUACAUGCUCUUUUUGCUGAAUUACGUGGCACAGACGCAGAAAAUCAUGGUUCGCAAGUCGAACAUUUUUGAAGAGCGCAUCGAAACGGACAUUUUCUUAAAAUAACAUGGUAUACAAAAAGUGCGUUCUUGAGCCUGUAGCAAACGAUUUGCAUCCAUGACAUCCCAAAAACUUAAAAUAACAUAUCUCGACUCCUAGAAUGAAAUCGACGUGGAUCCUUAGGGCAGUUAGUGUGUUUUAGUAUCAUACUUAACACCACAAAGUUUUACUGGGCACUCUACAAUACUCUUCCCAAGACGCAAGAAAAUGUUCAUUUUGGGGGGUCCUGUAACGCGAAACUUAAUGAUAAAAUACCGCACUUAGUCCAUAAAAUACGAACUUAGGCACUAUUUCGCACUUAGUAUAAUAACUUCUCGCACUUAGAACGGGUAAUUUAUGUAAAUUACUUUAUGGGUGACUGCUGGGGUUCUAACAAAGCUGAAAGAUACUGACUAGCUGCUGGGCGCGGCGGUUACUUUUUCCAGCUAUAAAUAGAUGUUUAACGAGUAAGUCUGUAACUGUCAGCAGUACUCAAUUCCCGUCAAUCUGCUGUAGAUUAACGGGAAUUUUUGUUAAGACGACGUAAACCAAAAGCGAGUAUCCUUCUUGUGACGGUUUCCCUAGUAUAUGGUGAGGUGAACAAAGUCCGGUUUACUGAAGUGUAAAUUUUUGGAAAAUGGCCGUGGUGGGUUUUCCUCAAGAAUUAUAAGUUUGGAUUUUUGAAGGCGUUAACUUUUGCCUGUUUAANNNNNNNNNNNNNNNNNNNNNNNNNNNNNNNNNNNNNNNNNNNNNNNNNNNNNNNNNNNNNNNNNNNNNNNNNNNNNNNNNNNNNNNNNNNNNNNNNNNNACAAACCGUGAAAGCGUGGCCUAUCGAUCCUUUAGUUCUUUUGAAUUUUACUCUAGAGGUGUCAGAAACGUUACCACAGGGAUAACUGGCUUGUGGCAGCCAAGCGUCCAUAGCGACGUUGCUUUUUGAUUCUUCGAUGUCGGCUCUUCCUAUCAUUGCGAAGUAGAACUCGGCCAAUUGUUGGAUUGUUCACCCACUAAUAGGGAACGUGAGCUGGGUUUAGACCGUCGUGAGACAGGUUAGUUUUACCCUACUGAUGAGUUCGUUGUCUAAACAGUAAUCCAACCCAGUACGAGAGGAACCGUUGGUUCAGAUAAUUGGUAACUGCGGUUAGCUGAAAAGCUAGUGCCGCCAAGCUACCAUCUGUAGGAUUAUGGCUGAACGCCUCUAAGUCAGAAUCCAUGCUGGAAUAGACGAUAAUCACCUUUCCCGAUGUGCCGCGAAUAGCGAUAGGUGUCUUCUGGACACCCAACAUCAUACAAUUGCAACGCACUUCGCUGCCUGUCAAGUACUGGCGGUGGAGAGUAGGCUGAUUUGUAAUUUCAAAUAUUGGGAAAGAUAAAUCCUUUGUAGACGACUUAACUACAGAACGGGGUGUUGUAAGCAUGAGAGUAGUCUUGUACUACGAUCUGCUGAGAUUUAGCCCUUGUUCUAUUGAUUUGUUCAGAAAUGAACAUUUCUCCCCCCAAUUGCAAACGCGCAAUGUUAAAACUAUAAAGUUAAGCAGUCGAAAUAAGGCUGCGUAAAAGUGAUUUACUUUCGCUAUGGGGCGGCGAAAGUAACCGGUCAAAGUGCUGGUAGAGAGUUAAUACUGUUAAGCUUAAGAUCGUCAAAGUCUUUGUUUUGGCUUAGUGAGGUUUGUUCGCAAAAAUCGCUAAGUGCCGCUGCUAUUGUUUUCCGAGCCAAAUUCGGCGACCUUAGUAUCGGGUUUAUAACAGGCAGAAAGCGAGAAACACUUUGCGUGAAAAUCGCUAAGUGCCAGCGCUAAUGAUUUCUGAGCCAAAAUCGGAGAUUUUAGUAUGGGGGUUUAACAGGGCAAGCUAGACGGCAGGGCGUAAAAUUAGACUUGGUUUAAGUAUGUUAAAAGAGAGCGAAUAGCGUGAAUUAGACUUGGUUUAACUAUGUUAAAGAGAGCGGAAUAGCAUGAAUUAGACUUGGUUUAAGUAUGUUAAAGAGAGCGGAAUAGCAUGAAAUAGACUUGGUUUAACUAUGUUAAAAGAGAGCGAAAUAGCAUGAAAUAGACUUGGUUUAACUAUGUAAAGAGAGCGGAAUAGCAUGAAAUAGACUUGGUUNNNNNNNNNNNNNNNNNNNNNNNNNNNNNNNNNNNNNNNNNNNNNNNNNNNNNNNNNNNNNNNNNNNNNNNNNNNNNNNNNNNNNNNNNNNNNNNNNNNNAGCGGACAAGGGGAAUCCGGACUGUUUUAUUUAAAACAAAGCAUUGUGAUGGCCCGAAGACGGUGUUGACACAAUGUGAUUUCUGCCCAGUGCUCUGAAUGUCAUAGUGAAGAGAUUCAACCAAGCGCGGGUAAACGGCGGGAGUAACUAUGACUCUCUUAAGGUAGCCAAAUGCCUCGUCAUCUAACUAGUGACGCGCAUGAAUGGA
rfam:Phytophthora infestans T30-4 supercont1.52 genomic scaffold, whole genome shotgun sequence.